rnacentral:rRNA from 1 species
UACGUAGGGAGCAAGCGUUGUCCGGAAUCAUUGGGCGUAAAGCGCGCGUAGGCGGCCCUGUAAGUCCGUUGUGAAAGUCAAAGGCUCAACCUUUGAAAGCCGAUGGAUACUGUGGAGCUAGAGUACGGAAGAGGCGAGUGGAAUUCCUGGUGUAGCGGUGGAAUGCGCAGAUAUCAGGAGGAACACCAAUAGCGAAGGCAGCUCGCUGGGACGUUACUGACACUAAGGCGCGAAAGCGUGGGGAGCGAACAGG